GGUGAAAUUGUUGGGUCAAAUGGUAACUCUCUAUGUAGCUUUUUGAAAAAUUGCCAGACUGUUUCUCAAAGUGGCUCUACCAUUUUACAUUCCCACCAGCAAU
rnacentral:pre_miRNA from 1 species